rnacentral:rRNA from 1 species
CCCUUCAGUGCUGCAGCAAACGCAUUAAGCACUCCGCCUGGGGAGUACGACCGCAAGGUUGAAACUCAAAGGAAUUGACGGGGGCCCGACAAGCGGUGGAGCAUGUGUUUAAUUCGAAGCAACGCGAAGAACCUUACCAGGUCUUGACAUCCUUUGACCACUCAUAGAGAUAGAGCUUUCCCUUCGGGGACAAAGUGACAGUGGUGCAUGGUUGUCGUCAGCUCGUGUCGUGAGAUGUUGGGUUAAGUCCGCAACGAGCGCAACCCUUAUUGUUAGUUGCCAUCAUUUAGUUGGGCACUCUAGCGAGACUGCCGGUGACAAACCGGAGGAAGGUGGGGAUGACGUCAAAUCAUCAUGCCCCUUAUGACCUGGGCUACACACGUGCUACAAUGGGAAGUACAACGAGUCGCUAGACCGCGAGGUCAUGCAAAUCUCUUAAAGCUUCUCUCAGUUCGGAUUGCAGGCUGCAACUCGCCUGCAUGAAGCCGGAAUCGCUAGUAAUCGCGGAUCAGCACGCCGCGGUGAAUACGUUCCCGGGCCUUGUACACACCGCCCGUCACACCACGCAGAGUUUGUAACACCCGAAGUCGGUGAGGUAACCUUUUUGGAG